ACAGCGAAAGGGAAAAAGGCAUGAUAAUGUUUAACGAUAAGGCAUGUAUUAGAAUUCAACAAGCCCCACGCUGAACAUAACUUCGACCAAAAAUUUAGAAGACUUUGCAAGACAACGAAAAUCUACUAACACGUAUACACAAAAGCCGGUAGGAAACGCAUUCCUAACAUCAAGCGAAGGUAGCUAGGUGAAGGCGUAAGAAGGAUACAAGCAAAUAAUAUGGAAUCUUAAAAACAUCAGAGGAAUACCCAUCCAAUUCUGCACAUGGCAUGCUACUGGGUUGCUCACUUUGCAAAUGGCACCACAGGAGCUAACCAUAAACUGAACC
rnacentral:lncRNA from 1 species